GGCACGCGGGAUUCCCCCCGGACAGGGGCACGAAUCCGCGCCCCUUGCAUCGGCAGGCGGACCCCCAACCACUGCGCCACCAGGGAAGCCCUCUAGUACUUUUAUGUAACAUCUCACCUGCGUAUUCCAAUGCUUGGGAUAGCAUUUGGCUGAAAGAAUUCAUCAUUUCUACUUGCCUUAGCGGUUUACCUUUCUUUGCAGAGUCCUUCCGCGGUGCACGCACGAGGACACUUAAGUCUUAUGCAUGUAGGUAGUAACCGUCCACACCGAGGUGAUUCCCAGACCGUGGGCUUCCUGUUCCUUACUUUACUAUCCCGUCCUGCCCUUCCUUCCAGGGGCUGCUGCCUCUGCCGAACCAGAUGGAGGACGUCAGUUUCUCAGGGGGCCCAGGUGGGAACGCAAAGACUGUGCUCUCAGAAGGUCUGGGCGGAGCUUGGCGCUUAGAGUCCUUGUUAUUCUAAUCAAGGAGCCCCAGCUCAUUCUAAUCAACUUCCAUUAGGAGAGGGCCACAGCUUCUGGAAGGGCUGGGUUUUCUGGUUGUCAACCCUUGGGCCUGGGCGUACUCUCAAAAGGUGCCAUAAGUAGCAUGGUCCUACCCCGGGGGGCCAGUCGGCUUUUCUUUUUUGUCAUCCAGGAGGACCAAUGAGUUAGGGUGCGUCUUUGGGGCAGUUUGGCUGUUCAGGAUGGCCAGAGGCUAAGUGGAAACCUAGGCACCUCAGGAAUCCUGUUGAUGUGUGGAGUAAAUGCUGGGGAGAAAUGGGGUGCUCUAGGGAGGGGUGUUGCUUUUACUUUUCUCAGUAACCCAAUGGGGAACUAUUAUUAUUUCAACUUUACAGAAGAAGAAAGGGGAGAACAGAAAACUUCAGCAACUUGCCCAGUGGUGGAGUCCAGAAUUAAACCACGCAGGGUCUGGCUUCCAAGCUCAGUACCUGAACUUAGUUUCAUUUUCUUUUGACAUAAUGGAGCUUUUAUUCAAGCCUCACCCCUCAUUAAUUUUUAAAAAAUUUUUAUUGGAGUAUAGUUGAUUUAAAACUCAUUAAUUCAAGCAAAUUCAUUCACUCAUUUAACAGCUGUUUCAUCUCCCCCUUUCCCGAACCCCUCCAACUGUAGUUCCAUGGGGACAGAGACAACCACAUCAAUUUCAUUGUGUUCAGGAAUGUUUGCUCUUAGGAAAGUUUGAUGAAUGAAUAAAGAGCAAACAGAAUAAGUGCUUCAGAGUUUUUUUGCGUUUAUCAUAUAAAUUAAAAGAAGGAGACAUAACAGAUUUAUAAUUACCUUUUCUGGGCCAGGCACCUAAGAUAUUUUAUCCCUAUUUAUUCCUGAAGCAUGAGAUAGGGAUGGAGUGUAAGUUUCACUUGUUUCCUCUCUUUUUUUUUUUUGAUGAGGAAACAGGUUAAGACACACUGAUCGCUUGUGGUGGAGCUGGGAUUUAGACUCAGCAUUGUUUGCCUGAAUCCCAACCCUACACUUUUCCCAUAUAACCACACUGACUGCUGGAGCAUCGAUCAUGACAUCAUAGGGAUCAAGGGGAAGGUAGAAUGUUUUUUCUAAGUGACAAACUGGCAAGUGAAAGUUUGAUUGUAGGUGUGUUAUUCUUUGGCCAGACAACAAGCGCAUGCACGAGAGGAGAGAGCCAGUAUGUGAGUAAUAGCAAAGUGCAGAGGCUGGGAGAAAGUUCCCCAUGUCCAGGGGACUGUUCUUUGGCUUAGGUCCUGGCUUAGGAAAUCCCGAAGGCUCCACAUUAAAACACAGGCAUUCCCACCUGUAAAACUAGAUGAUUACUUACCAUCACAGGCUUGCCUGAGAUGAAAUUGCAGGGUUUUUUUUUUUUUAUAACUAAGAAGGUGUUGUGUAAGCACCAGAAACAGAACAAUGUUGGAUUUGGGGGGGGAGAAAGUUUGCUGUAGAAUAUGUAUUUCUUAAGGCCUGUGGUGUGUGUCCUGGUUUAUCUUCCUAGAAGAGUCUCUUCUGGGCUCUAAUCAUUUAUCAGAGGGCAUGUGGUUUGGUUUUAGGUAAAAGCCAACCUCUGUUUCCAACAUGUAACUGAUACACUCUCCUAGUUUUCCCAGCCCUUAAUUUGUUAACACUUAUGUUUUCUUUUCUCUCGUUCGGUUGCCAUUUUCCUUUAUAUCUCCCCUGUUGUCCCUCUCAGUGUCACGAGUUUUUGUAUUAACCAUGCCCCUUGCCUUUGCCUUGACUUCUGCUCCGCCUGCCAGGGUUUUUAUGGAUGAUAGUUAAGCAAUCCUGGUGGCUACCUUGGAGAAAACCAGGGUCUUGUUAUGCCUGUAGGUGGCAUGUGCAGACUGCAGUCUGGGGGGGGGGGGUCGAGGGGCAAGGCUUAAUUUCUUGGAAGAUUUCAGGGGAUUGCAAGAAACAGUAUUGAAACAAUGAAGUACUGAGGUCUUAAAAACAUCUUGGCAUUCAACAAGGAGUGAGGGAGGUUAUGUUCUGCUACCCACAAAAUGACCUCCAGAAUGACCAGCUGUGGGGGACACUGGGAAAUGUCCAGUACUGCAUGUUCAUCUCAUAAACUUAGAGACGCGAAGCCAAGAUCUCAAAGCAUUUCAAGACCAUUUCAAGCAUUUCCUCCGCUGAAGCAGAGGAGAGAAGCUCCACCAGGAUUUAUCCCGGUGCUUAUGCUGUUGGUAGGUGGCCAAGUCGUUAAUAUGCAAAGUGGUCAGAUCUGUCAGAUGGAUGCAGGUGAAGAGAGAACACUCACAUGUGCCAGACCCAAUUAAAUGUGAAAGCCAGGAGGAACUGAUAAGCAGGGGUGAAGGAAGGGAACCUAGAGCCACGCCUCUCAAACUGCUAGAGUGUUGGCAUCGCUUUCAGAGAAGCAUUCAUAAGAUCUGUGGUCUCAAGAAUAAUUUUUACAACUUUCCUCCAAAAGUUCCUUAUUAGAGAAUCAUCACUGAAUGCCACCAGCAUCACUUCUUUUUUAUUUAUUUAUUUAUUUAUUCAUUUUUGGCUGCGUUGGG